rnacentral:rRNA from 1 species
GAUGAACGCUGGCGGCGUGCCUAAUACAUGCAAGUCGAGCGAACAGACGAGGAGCUUGCUCCUCUGACGUUAGCGGCGGACGGGUGAGUAACACGUGGAUAACCUACCUAUAAGACUGGGAUAACUUCGGGAAACCGGAGCUAAUACCGGAUAAUAUAUUGAACCGCAUGGUUCAAUAGUGAAAGACGGUUUUGCUGUCACGUAUAGAUGGAUCCGCGCCGCAUUAGCUAGUUGGUAAGGUAACGGCUUACCAAGGCAACGAUGCGUAGCCGACCUGAGAGGGUGAUCGGCCACACUGGAACUGAGACACGGUCCAGACUCCUACGGGAGGCAGCAGUAGGGAAUCGUCCGCAAUGGGCGAAAGCCUGACGGAGCAACGCCGCGUGAGUGAUGAAGGUCUUCGGAUCGUAAAACUCUGUUAUUAGGGAAGAACAAAUGUGUAAGUAACUAUGCACGUCUUGACGGUACCUAAUCAGAAAGCCACGGCUAACUACGUG